AAAGGCCUCAAGCAGCAAAUGACUGUUUAGUUUAAAUGAAUGUGAACGUGAUCUUUUACAUCGGUAAAAAUUCAGUAAUCAGUGAAGCCAAAGCAGAAGAUGAAUUGAUAAACCCAAAUGAACGACGUUCACAGCCUCUGGUAGACGUCCAUCUCACGUAGGAUGAGGCAAAGCGAACGAUGUCACCAUGGUAACAAGCUGCAACGUGAUUAUUGGACUUUCACAGUAAGGAAAUCGUCCUUGAGAGACUGCAGGUCCCUGAGGACUCUCCAGCUGUUGGAGGUGCUGGUUUCUCAGGUGAGGCGCUAUUGAGGACCUGCAGGGUCCUGAACCUCAUCUCAGGUGCACGGGUGACACAAACCUCGAGGUCGGAGGAAACAGAAUAUCGGUGAGAACCAAAACAACUUGUGGAUCGCCGAUCGGAGGUCUCACGUACAAAACGAGACUAACCAUCUGGCAGGAACGAGACGUCCUCUAAACACCGGCCCUGAUGUGGACGGCAGCGCCCAGGUGGGAGGUGCUGAUGGUCGCUGACGUCCCGCCCCCCUCGAGCGCUGGCUGGUGCAAACACACAAACACACAAACACACAACACCAAAAACCUUGUCCAGACAAAUCACGUGACGAAGGAGGAGACCUGACGACGCCCCCGUUGACUGGCAGGACCCUCGACGUGACACGUGACACGAUGGAUUCAUGUCACGUUCUACUGAUGCCGCCACCACACAGGACACGUGAUGCCCACACCUCACAGGGGGCCACAGGCCUCUCCUACAUGUUACUCCCAUGAGCCUCGGCUCUAGUUCGCUGAAUGCGUCGCUCCACCCAAAGUGGGUGAAGUGAAAGUGGAAGAGCCGCCGGCGUGCUCCUGGUCCCUGAUUAUUCUGCAGAGCUCCACUAAGAAUCAAUCAAUUAAAGAAGAAGAGAAGCAAAGGUCGUCUUCAGCGACCCGCAGUGAUGUGAUUUCACUUGGAGGAAGGUUCCUCCCCCUGUUGCAUAACCAGUGGAAUGUCAGGUUUCCCUCACAGCUGACCUUUAGUAAACACACACACGUGUACACACACACAGCAUGUGUGCAGUCACACGCGUGUCGACUUCCAAACUCCUCGUUCUUGAUCAAUUAUUCAAACGUUACGCGUCGUGUCCGUGAGGCUUUGAGCUGAAUAAUUAGAACAGUCACUUCGUUCCUCCUUUUAAAGGGACAGUGACUCGUUCCUCCUCGACAGCCUCCAAAGUUCUGAGAGCGAAACACUUUCUCGGAGGAAAAGAAGUAAAUAUUGACUUUUAAACUCCAUCUUGUUGUGGAUGCACAGCUGUUUGUUCACAUGGAGCUCGAGGUUUUCCCACGACAAGGAUCACGAGGCAAACCGGAGACGUGCCACUUCUUUCAUGAGGCUGAGCUUGAUUUAGAACCUUGAUGACACAUUUGUGUCCAUGCAGAGAGAAUUUCUAUCUGUGAUAUUUUAAGGUACAAAUUCUUCUUUAUUAAACUCGGCCGGAUUGAAAUGUAAAUAAUUUAGAAUUCAACAUUUAUUAAGCAGGUAUGAAUUAUACAUUCAUGCAAAAUCUUGGCAAUGGGACUCCAUCCUGAUAUAGGAUAGAAGGGUGGAGAAGUCGGAAAAGACCCAAUGACUGGAGGGGGGGGGUCGUAUCGGA
ensembl:lncRNA